AGCCAAAGACUGUGUCUCAAGAACAGAUGACUGCAAGGGCUAACUGGGCUCAUGGAGUUGAUUCCCUUGCAAUUGCAGGCAGCUGGGCAACAGGAGUUUUGUUGUGUUGAGGAUCUGGGGGCAUUCAGCAUCAGCUGUGCAUCCAGAAGAUUGCUGGCUUGUUCCCAGAGAUCUGAAAUCCCAUUCUUCUCUCUCUUUUAAUGGAGCUCAGAGGUUCGGAAGGCGAGCUCGCUUGAGAGUUUUUUCCUGUCUUCGGAAGCUGCAUCAAAAUGUCACUUGCCAGCAUGUAAGCAGAAAAUUGUUUGUCUCCAGCUCAGUAGAGAUGCAUCAUGCCACAACAAAAAACAAUUUUGCAAAGUUAGAGCCAAAAGAACCAAUAACAACAUUCUGCAAGAUCUUAUACCAUAUGGACGAAGUCAGUGUCUGAUCUGAUAAGGAGGAGGUACAGAGCUUGGUCGUGAUGCUGGGGUAAAUGUGCUGCUGAAGGGAACAG